AAUGAAAUGGUCUAUAAAUAGCAUAUGUUUGCUGUUAAGUUACAAUACAGCAUUAGUCUCAAGUUGAAUACUUUUAAAGCAUUUUACAUCUUCAAUUGAACAGGUAAGAGUUUCAAAGAAUACUGUAGUGGAGUUUAGUCAUGCGUGUCUAGCUUUGAAUUCACUGUAUGUCUUUUUCAUUUCAAGAACUCCGUGGUGACCAUGAAACUACUAUUCCUAGUGAUGUGCCUGAUUGGACUUUGUUCUUCCAUUCCUGUGUCUGAGGAACAUGAUCGAGAGGAGCGCUCAGCUAGCAAUGAGAGAUACAGGGGUUAUGGCCGUGGUUUGGGAGGGUUUUACCCCUAUCAGCAGCCUCAGUACCCAUCCUACUUCCCUUAUGCGCAGCCUAACUCUGCCUUGAUGGCCCUCCUGCCCUUCCUAUUGGCCAGCCUUGCCUCUACUCCUGCCGCAACUCCUGCUGCAGCUCCAGCUCCAGCCCCGGCAGCGGGUGGAAAAUGAGACGGGCGUCGAUAGGGAAGGAGAAAAAACUUGUUUAAAUCAAAUAUGUUGACAUUAGCUCCUGUUCAGAGCUGAUUAUUCCAUCAUUAAUAAAUGAAAUAAGUUAAGAUCCGUCA
ensembl:lncRNA